rnacentral:rRNA from 1 species
UUGGCCUCAAAUCGGGUGAGACUACCCGCUGAACUUA